GGGUUGUGAGGUUAAGCGACUAAGCGUACACGGUGGAUGCCCUGGCAGUCAGAGGCGAUGAAGGACGUGCUAAUCUGCGAAAAGCGCCGGCGAGGUGAUAUGAACCUUUGACCCGGCGAUGUCCGAAUGGGGAAACCCAGUGCAAUCCGUUGCACUAUCGUUAACUGAAUACAUAGGUUAACGAGGCGAACCGGGGGAACUGAAACAUCUAAGUACCCCGAGGAAAAGAAAUCAACCGAGAUUCCCCCAGUAGCGGCGAGCGAACGGGGAGCAGCCCGGAGUCUGAAUCAGCUUGUGUGUUAGUGGAACGGUCUGGAAAGUCCGACGGUACAGGGUGAUAGUCCCGUACACGAAAGCACACAUGCUGUGAACUCGAAGAGUAGGGCGGGACACGUGGUAUCCUGUCUGAAUAUGGGGGGACCAUCCUCCAAGGCUAAAUACUCCUGACUGACCGAUAGUGAACCAGUACCGUGAGGGAAAGGCGAAAAGAACCCCGGCGAGGGGAGUGAAAAAGAACCUGAAACCGUGUACGUACAAGCAGUGGGAGCCUCUUUAUGGGGUGACUGCGUACCUUUUGUAUAAUGGGUCAGCGACUUAUAUUCUGUAGCAAGGUUAACCGUAUAGGGGAGCCGAAGGGAAACCGAGUCUUAACUGGGCGUUAAGUUGCAGGGUAUAGACCCGAAACCCGGUGAUCUAGCCAUGGGCAGGUUGAAGGUUGGGUAACACUAACUGGAGGACCGAACCGACUAAUGUUGAAAAAUUAGCGGAUGACCUGUGGCUGGGGGUGAAAGGCCAAUCAAACCGGGAGAUAGCUGGUUCUCCCCGAAAGCUAUUUAGGUAGCGCCUCGUGAACUCAUCUUCGGGGGUAGAGCACUGUUUCGGCUAGGGGGCCAUCCCGGCUUACCAACCCGAUGCAAACUACGAAUACCGAAGAAUGUUAUCACGGGAGACACACGGCGGGUGCUAACGUCCGUCGUGAAGAGGGAAACAACCCAGACCGCCAGCUAAGGUCCCAAAGUCAUGGUUAAGUGGGAAACGAUGUGGGAAGGCACAGACAGCCAGGAUGUUGGCUUAGAAGCAGCCAUCAUUUAAAGAAAGCGUAAUAGCUCACUGGUCGAGUCGGCCUGCGCGGAAGAUGUAACGGGGCUAAACCAUGCACCGAAGCUGCGGCAGCGACGCUUAUGCGUUGUUGGGUAGGGGAGCGUUCUGUAAGCCGUUGAAGGUGUCCUGUGAGGGGUGCUGGAGGUAUCAGAAGUGCGAAUGCUGACAUAAGUAACGAUAAAGCGGGUGAAAAGCCCGCUCGCCGGAAGACCAAGGGUUCCUGUCCAACGUUAAUCGGGGCAGGGUGAGUCGACCCCUAAGGCGAGGCCGAAAGGCGUAGUCGAUGGGAAACAGGUUAAUAUUCCUGUACUUGGUGUUACUGCGAAGGGGGGACGGAGAAGGCUAUGUCAGCCGGGCGACGGUUGUCCCGGUUUAAGCAUGUAGGCGGAGGUUCCAGGUAAAUCCGGUACCUUAUUAACGCUGAGGUGUGAUGACGAGGCACUACGGUGCUGAAGUGAUAAAUGCCCUGCUUCCAGGAAAAGCCUCUAAGCAUCAGGUAACACGAAAUCGUACCCCAAACCGACACAGGUGGUCAGGUAGAGAAUACCAAGGCGCUUGAGAGAACUCGGGUGAAGGAACUAGGCAAAAUGGUGCCGUAACUUCGGGAGAAGGCACGCUGAUAUGUAGGUGAAGUCCCUGCGGACGGAGCUGAAAUCAGUCGAAGAUACCAGCUGGCUGCAACUGUUUAUUAAAAACACAGCACUGUGCAAACACGAAAGUGGACGUAUACGGUGUGACGCCUGCCCGGUGCCGGAAGGUUAAUUGAUGGGGUUAGCGGCAACGCGAAGCUCUUGAUCGAAGCCCCGGUAAACGGCGGCCGUAACUAUAACGGUCCUAAGGUAGCGAAAUUCCUUGUCGGGUAAGUUCCGACCUGCACGAAUGGCGUAAUGAUGGCCAGGCUGUCUCCACCCGAGACUCAGUGAAAUUGAACUCGCUGUGAAGAUGCAGUGUACCCGCGGCAAGACGGAAAGACCCCGUGAACCUUUACUAUAGCUUGACACUGAACACUGGUCCUUGAUGUGUAGGAUAGGUGGGAGGCUUUGAAGCGUGGACGCCAGUCUGCGUGGAGCCAACCUUGAAAUACCACCCUUUAAUGGCUGGUGUUCUAACGUAGACCCGUAAUCCGGGUUGCGGACAGUGUCUGGUGGGUAGUUUGACUGGGGCGGUCUCCUCCCAAAGAGUAACGGAGGAGCACGAAGGUUGGCUAAUCCUGGUCGGACAUCAGGAGGUUAGUGCAAUGGCAUAAGCCAGCUUGACUGCGAGCGUGACGGCGCGAGCAGGUGCGAAAGCAGGUCAUAGUGAUCCGGUGGUUCUGAAUGGAAGGGCCAUCGCUCAACGGAUAAAAGGUACUCCGGGGAUAACAGGCUGAUACCGCCCAAGAGUUCAUAUCGACGGCGGUGUUUGGCACCUCGAUGUCGGCUCAUCACAUCCUGGGGCUGAAGUAGGUCCCAAGGGUAUGGCUGUUCGCCAUUUAAAGUGGUACGCGAGCUGGGUUUAGAACGUCGUGAGACAGUUCGGUCCCUAUCUGCCGUGGGCGCUGGAGAAUUGAGGGGGGCUGCUCCUAGUACGAGAGGACCGGAGUGGACGCAUCACUGGUGUUCGGGUUGUCAUGCCAAUGGCACUGCCCGGUAGCUAAAUGCGGAAGAGAUAAGUGCUGAAAGCAUCUAAGCACGAAACUUGCCCCGAGAUGAGUUCUCCCUGAGACCUUGAGUCUCCUGAAGGAACGUUGAAGACGACGACGUUGAUAGGUCGGGUGUGUAAGCGCAGCGAUGCGUUGAGCUAACCGAUACUAAUGAACCGUGAGGCUUAACCUUACAACGCCGAAGGUGUUU
rnacentral:rRNA from 1 species